UUGGAGACCCGAUUGGCGGCCAUUUUGAUUCUUGUUUCAUGAUUUUUUUUAUAUUAUAACGAUUUUGCCAAGAGUAGACAUAAACGCGGGCACAGACUAGAAAAAAUCUUUUUACACUUUUGUGUUAGUUGAAUUGUAAUCUAAUUUAUGUUUAAAAAAACAACCUUAAAUCAAAUAAGCAGAUAUUUUCCCCAAACCCUCCGUUCAACCUCCGACUCUGUCACUCUGUGGAAUAUUAUUAGGCCCCUAUUUUCCUGAUUCAGUCACAGUUAAUAAAUAAUAAAUAAUGGAACUAGAAUCAGUCUGUGGAAGUUUCUCUAUAGUUUCAUUAUUUUUUCCAGUCAGUGAUGAUAUGACUCAUUCCACCUUACAGUUACAGCAAUUACCGUAUUGAGAAUUUACCGUUCAAGGACUCCAUUUUGGCAUUGAAUUGGAAUUUGAAGAAAAACUGUUUCAAUAUUGGAUGUAUAUGCAAAUCACCCAGGAAAAGAUCAUGUAACAAAAGAAAUUAUAAAAGUAAAAAAAUGGAAGAAGAAAUGGCUGGAAAAAAUGAUGAUAGAGCAGCUUUUUCUUGUUAGCCACCUCGGAAGAUCAAGACAGCUGGAAAGGGCUAUUGAUAUUGUGGAAGUGUUUUCUUACAGAGGUUGCUUAUCAGACAAAGGCUAUUUAACUACAUCAGAAAGAUAAAAACAGUUGGAAAUGGCUAUUCAUAUUGUGGAAACUUUUCUCACAGAGCUUGAUAAUCAGGCAAAAUGCUGGAACACCCUUGAAAGAGUAUUUGGUGUAUGAUAACAACAAGAGAACCCAAGCAUCAAUUUAUACUUCUGGGAAAGAAUGCAUUUGACCCAAUUUUUAAAUAUUUAUUUUUUGUUAUUAAUGUUAAAUUUUCUUCCAAAACACAAUUAGAUUUUAAUUCUCUUCAAAUAUGUAUGUAUAAUAUAGCAAGUAAACUGACAUAUAAAUCACUUAGAAUUUGGUCGGAAAUCAUAAAGUAUUUAAUAGGCAUUACUAGAAACCAAAUGUAGAUCAAAUACACCCAGAAUUACAAAAAACCUUGACCUACAUUAAGGUGACUUUCCCUUGCUUAUGAAAUGAAAUACGUUUUAAUAUCCUGCUUUUCUGUGUUCUUAGAGUGAUUCUACCCUACCCUUAUAUCAAAUAUUUCAACUGUCAAGGGUUCUUUAAAGGGUACCCAGGGGGGGCCGAAUGGUUAACACGCACACAUUUGAUCAGAAGGUCUGUCAUUGAUUCAAAUAAUUCAAUUUUCAAGGGUUCUUCAAAGUGUACGCAGUUGGGUUGGUUUCAAUUCUGGGGGGUGGGGGUGGAUGGCCGAAUGGUUAGCACGUGCAUGCUGUAUCAUACGGCCUCCUGUCAUUGAGUCAACUGGCAUGGUUUCGAAUCCCCGGUUGUAGACAAGGAGUGGGGUCGCCUGUCCAAUCUUGUGGGUUUUCUCCGGGACCUCCGGUUUCCUCCCACUGCUAAAGACCCCUACGCGCUAGCGAAUUAUUGAAAUAAAAUUAAACCAUAUGUUAGUCCCAAAAUGAUCUAGUUUGUGUCGAGUAGACGUUAAACCCCAUUUCUCUCUGUCUCUCUCUCUUUUGAUUCUGGGCUUGUACCCAAUUAUCCCUUGCCAUAUCCAACACUGAAAAGUGGGAACUAUGCCGGAAAAUCCAGUUGAAAUUUCGCGGCCAACGCCUUAUGCUCACUGAACCACUGUGGCUUAUGACUUGUGAUUGUAUAUAAAUCUUUUGUACAUAUGAUAUUUUUUUAUUUCAAUCCUGUAAUCUUGAUGCUUUGCUUCUUUUAUUUAUAAAAUAUUCAUUUUGUUUGGGGUUUUUUUAAUGAGGAAAAGGCUCUACAUCAUUUUAUUACUCCUGCAAAAUAGAGCAAUUUUCUUUUGUUAGUUUUCUGUGUAUGCUAGUUAUUUCUAGAUGCCUCACAAAUCACUUGUAGUGUGAUUUUGUAACAUUUUUCAGUUUUUGAAAUUGUUUCAAUUUAGUGCAUAAUUAAUCUUAUUAGUGCUUAGUUUGGAUGUUAUUAAAUUUAGAUAUAUUUGAAUUAUAUAUUUUGGGGUAUGGGGUAGGGAUACUGUGUACAUAUCUUUAUAUUCUCAGUUCUUGUUUUGGGGUAAAGAACAAUUUAAAUAGCUAUUUUAUAUUUUGUGAUGGGUAAAGUGUGUGGGGCAAAAAACAAUUUAAAUAGCUAUUUUAUAUUUUGUGAUGGGUAAAGUGG